CCUCCUAGGAGAUGCAGGGGGCAGGACUCAGGUGAAUUCCCAGGACAAGUGACCUGCAGGUAGUGGGGUGAGUGGAGAGGAGGAAAUCAUUCUGGUUAUUUCAGGUGAACAGUGGGAGGAGGACCAUGAUAUGGAAACAGGUCCUCCAGUCCUCCCCUCCUGGCAGGAAAACUAUGACCUCACAGCCACCAGCCCUGAAAGUCCACUCAACUUGACCCAUGAAGCUGGGACAAAUAAAGAGGACUUUUCAAAAAACAUCAAUGCCAUGAAAAACAAACAAAAAGCAGGACACAGUAUCAAAUUAAAGAUUAAAGGGGCAUGACAAGCAAAUGUGAUGUGUGAAUCUUGAUUGGAAAAAUAAACUAAAAUGACAUUUUGGGGGAUAAUUGGGAAAAUGUUAAAAUGAAGUAUGUAUAUCAGAUGAUAAUAAUACGUUGAUAUUAAAUAUCUUGAGUGUGGUAACUAUAUUGUGGUCAUUUAAGAGAAGGUCUUAGGCGGUGG